rnacentral:rRNA from 1 species
CCCUUAGAUGUUCUGGGCUGCACGCGCGCUACACUGAUGCGCUCAACGAGUUUAUGAACUUGCCCGGAAGGGUUGGUUAAUCUUUUUAAAACGCAUCGUGAUGGGGAUAGAUUAUUGCAAUUAUUAAUCUCCAACGAGGAAUUCCUAGUAAACGCAAGUCAUCAGCUUGCAUUGAUUACGUCCCUGCCCUUUGUACACACCGCCCGUCGCACCUACCGAUUGAAUGGUCCGGUGAAAUCUUGGGAUUUUGUUUUGUUUGCAUUUAUUUGUAUCGAGACGAGAGAACUUGAGUAAACCUUACCAUUUAGAGGAAGGUGAAGUCGUAACA